CACGUAGGGACCAAGCGUUGUCCGGAUUCAUUGGGCGUAAAGAGCUCGUAGGCGGUUCGAUAAGUCGGGUGUGAAACCUCCAGGCUCAACCUGGAGACGCCACCCGAUACUGUCGUGACUAGAGUCCAGUAGGGGAGCGUGGAAUUCCUGGUGUAGCGGUGAAAUGCGCAGAUAUCAGGAGGAACACCAGCGGCGAAGGCGGCGCUCUGGGCUGGAACUGACGCUGAGGAGCGAAAGCGUGGGGAGCAAACAGG
rnacentral:rRNA from 1 species